rnacentral:rRNA from 1 species
UACGAAGGGGCUAGCGUUGCUCGGAAUCACUGGGCGUAAGCGCACGUAGGCGGCUUACUAAGUCAGGGGUGAAAUCCUGGAGCUCAACUCCAGAACUGCCUUGAUACUGGUGAGCUGAGUCCGGAAGAGGUGAGUGGAACUGCGAGUGUAGAGGUGAAAUUCGUAGAUAUUCGCAAGAACACCAGUGGCGAAGGCGGCUCACUGGCCCGGUACUGACGCUGAGGUGCGAAGCGAUGGGAGCAACUAGG